rnacentral:rRNA from 1 species
UAGGGAAUCUUUCGGCAAUGGACGAAAGUCUGACCGAGCAACGCCGCGUGAGUGAAGAAGGUUUUCGGAUCGUAAAACUCUGUUGUUAGAGAAGAACAAGGGUGAGAGUAACUGUUCACCCCUUGACGGUAUCUAACCAGAAAGCCACGGCUAACUACGUGCCAG